UGUCAAGGGAACAGGCACGCCCGGCUCGCGUUAGUCUGGAGGCUGAGUCACUGUGAAAUCCUCCGGGCGGGUUCGCUGUGCUGCUUUAUUAGUUCCGGAGAGCGUCCGGCCUCGGCUCCGGGUAUUUUGCUCCGAAAACGGUGUUCUUGUAUAACAGGAAUUGACAUUAUACAAGGGACUACGGCACAAAGAUGAAAAGGAUGUGAAACCUCUCUUAGCGGUUUCAUGGACUCUAUGCCUUUGUUAAACUUCUUGAAGAAAAUACAACACUUGCCUCUAUUUCCUCAAUUCUGGUAAGUUUUGACCAAGGACUCAAAAUGAAGCCAUUAAUGGGAUGAACUCUUCUUUCUCAAACAGGUACUCAUUCAUUCAAGUAAAUGACUGAACUCUUGAUAUCUGACACCUUUGUUGACAAAACAAAGCGCCUGUCUCAUGAAGCUUGCCUUCCUGUGGAAUAUAAAUGGAAGAUGACUUUCAAAAAUAAACUGUUGAGCCCCGGCAUAGUUCCAGUUCCAGGUAAAAAUAUGAAGAUUACAAAGGUUGAGACGUAAGGAUUCAAAUCUACAAAACGGAGGAAAGACACAGUGGACCUCAAUUUACUGACUCCAAAUCCUCAGUUUUAUGAGUGUAUAAUAAGGCAGAGAGAAGGUAAAUUAGAUCAGUAUUAGAAUAUUUAUACCUUUAGUAAAUCUGUUUCAGGUUGACACUUAAAAACUUACCUGUCAUCAAAUGUUCUUAAAUUGUGAAAUAAAA